rnacentral:rRNA from 1 species
UACAGAGGGGGCAAGCGUUGUUCGGAAUUACUGGGCGUAAAGGGCGCGUAGGCGGCCUUCUAAGUCGAACGUGAAAUCCCCGGGCUCAACCCGGGAACUGCGUCCGAUACUGGAAGGCUUGAAUCCGGGAGAGGGAUGUGGAAUUCCAGGUGUAGCGGUGAAAUGCGUAGAUAUCUGGAGGAACACCGGUGGCGAAGGCGACAUCCUGGACCGGUAUUGACGCUGAGGAGCGAAAGCCAGGGGAGCAAAGCGGG